rnacentral:rRNA from 1 species
GACGAACGCUGGCGGCGUGGAUUAGGCAUGCAAGUCGAACGGUAUCAUCCUUUCGGGGGUGAGAGAGUGGCGAACUGGUGAGUAACACGUAGGUUAUCUACCCUCAAGACGGGGACAACCCAGGGAAACUUGGGCUAAUACCGGAUGUGAGCAACUUUUAGUUGUUUGAAAGGUGGCGUAAGCUGUCGCUUGGGGAUGAGCCUGCGUCCUAUUAGUUAGUUGGUGAGGUAACGGCUCACCUAGGCAAUGAUAGGUAGGCGGCCUUAACGGGUGGUCGCCCACACUGGGAUUGAGAUACGGCCCAGACUCCUACGGGAGGCAGCAGUCGAGAAUAGUCUACAAUGGUCGGAAGACUGAUAGUGCGACGCCGCGUGAACGAUGAAUCCCUUCGGGGUUAAAGUUCUUUUAUAUGUGAGCAGUGCUUCUUAUAUUAACAGUAUGGGGAAGAGAUAUUAGCAUAUGAAUAAGCAACGGCUAACUCCGUGCCCAGCAGCCGCGGUAAACU